UACGGAGGGUGCAAGCGUUAAUCGGAAUUACUGGGCGUAAAGCGCACGCAGGUGGCUGAGAAAGUCGAUUGUGAAAGCCCUGGGCUUAACCUGGGAAUUGCAGUCGAAACUACUCGGCUAGAGUAUGGGAGAGGGUAGUGGAAUUCCCGGUGUAGCGGUGAAAUGCGUAGAUAUCUGGAGGAACACCGGUGGCGAAGGCGGCAUCCUGGACCAACACUGACGCUGAGUGAGCGAAAGCCAGGGGAGCAAACGGG
rnacentral:rRNA from 1 species